ACCAGCACCCUCAAGUGGUCAGGAUGAUUAUUGGGCCUAAAGCAUCCGUAGCUCGUUUGUAAGUUUCGGUUAAAUCCAUACGCUUAACGUAUGGGCUGCCGGAAAUACUGCAUAACUAGGAAGUGGGAGAGGUAGACGGUACUCGGUAGGAAGGGUAAAUCCUUUGAUCUAUUGAUGACCACCUGUGGCGAAGGCGGUCUACCAGAACACGUUCGACGGUGAGGAUGAAAGCUGGGGAGCAAACCGGAUUAGAUACCCGUA
rnacentral:rRNA from 1 species